GACGAACGCUGGCGGCGUGCUUAACACAUGCAAGUCGAACGAAGUGGCGAACGGGUGAGUAACGCGUAAUCAACCUGCCCUUCAGCGGGGGACAACAGUUGGAAACGACUGCUAAUACCGCAUACUGAGGGAGGGGAUUGCGUCUGAUUUGCUAGUUGGAGGGGUAACGGCCCACCAAGGCGAUGAUCAGUCGCCGGGCUGAGAGGAUGAACGGCCCAAAUGGGACUGAGAAACGGCCCAGACCCCUACGGGGGGCAGCAGGGGGGAAUCUUCCGCAAUGGACGAAAGUCUGACGGAGCAAAGCCGCGGGAGUGAUGACGGCCUUCGGGUUGUUAAGCUCUGUUAAUCGGGACGCGGUACCGGAAUAGAAAGCCACGGCUAACUACGUGCCAGCCGCCGCGGUAAUAC
rnacentral:rRNA from 1 species